UACGGAGGGGGCUAGCGUUGUUCGGAAUUACUGGGCGUAAAGCGCACGUAGGCGGCUUUGUAAGUCAGGGGUGAAAGCCUGGAGCUCAACUCCAGAACUGCCUUUGAAACUAGACAGCUUGAAUCAUGGAGAGGCGGGUGGAAUUCCGAGUGUAGAGGUGAAAUUCGUAGAUAUUCGGAAGAACACCAGUGGCGAAGGCGGCCCGCUGGACAUGUAUUGACGCUGAGGUGCGAAAGCGUGGGGAGCAAACAGG
rnacentral:rRNA from 1 species